CUUCGAGUCGUUGAUUUCACACUGCCGAGAAAAGCCUCUAGAUAGAAAAUAGGUGCCCGUACCGCAAACCGACACAGGUAGUCAAGAUGAGAAUUCUAAGGUGAGCGAGCGAACUCUCGUUAAGGAACUCGGCAAAAUGACCCCGUAACUUCGGGAGAAGGGGUGCUCUUUAGGGUUAACGCCCAGAAGAGCCGCAGUGAAUAGGCCCAAGCGACUGUUUAUCAAAAACACAGGUCUCUGCUAAACCGUAAGGUGAUGUAUAGGGGCUGACGCCUGCCCGGUGCUGGAAGGUUAAGAGGAGUGGUUAGCUUCUGCGAAGCUACGAAUCGAAGCCCCAGUAAACGGCGGCCGUAACUAUAACGGUCCUAAGGUAGCGAAAUUCCUUGUCGGGUAAGUUCCGACCCGCACGAAAGGCGUAACGAUUUGGGCACUGUCUCAACGAGAGACUCGGUGAAAUCAUAGUACCUGUGAAGAUGCAGGUUACCCGCGACAGGACGGAAAGACCCCGUGGAGCUUUACUGUAGCCUGAUAUUGAAAUUCGGCACAGCUUGUACAGGAUAGGUAGGAGCCUUUGAAACGUGAGCGCUAGCUUACGUGGAGGCGCUGGUGGGAUACUACCCUAGCUGUGUUGGCUUUCUAACCCGCACCACUUAUCGUGGUGGGAGACAGUGUCAUGCGGGCAGUUUGACUGGGGCGGUCGCCUCCUAAAAGGUAACGGAGGCGCUCAAAGGUUCCCUCAGAAUGGUUGGAAAUCAUUCAUAGAGUGUAAAGGCAUAAGGGAGCUUGACUGCGAGACCUACAAGUCGAGCAGGGUCGAAAGACGGACUUAGUGAUCCGGUGGUUCCGCAUGGAAGGGCCAUCGCUCAACGGAUAAAAGCUACCCCGGGGAUAACAGGCUUAUCUCCCCCAAGAGUUCACAUCGACGGGGAGGUUUGGCACCUCGAUGUCGGCUCAUCGCAUCCUGGGGCUGUAGUCGGUCCCAAGGGUUGGGCUGUUCGCCCAUUAAAGCGGUACGCGAGCUGGGUUCAGAACGUCGUGAGACAGUUCGGUCCCUAUCCGUCGUGGGCGUAGGAAAUUUGAGAGGAGCUGUCCUUAGUACGAGAGGACCGGGAUGGACAUACCUCUGGUGUACCAGUUGUCGUGCCAACGGCAUAGCUGGGUAGCUAUGUGUGGACGGGAUAAGUGCUGAAAGCAUCUAAGCAUGAAGCCCCCCUCAAGAUGAGAUUUCCCAACUUCGGUUAUAAGAUCCCUCAAAGAUGAUGAGGUUAAUAGGUUCGAGGUGGAAGCAUGGUGACAUGUGGAGCUGACGAAUACUAAUCGAUCGAAGACUUAAUCAAAA
rnacentral:rRNA from 1 species